GCGAACAGGAUUAGAUACCCUGGUAGUCCACGCCGUAAACGAUGUCGACUUGGAGGUUGUUCCCUUGAGGAGUGGCUUCCGGAGCUAACGCGUUAAGUCGACCGCCUGGGGAGUACGGCCGCAAGGUUAAAACUCAAAUGAAUUGACGGGGGCCCGCACAAGCGGUGGAGCAUGUGGUUUAAUUCGAUGCAACGCGAAGAACCUUACCUACUCUUGACAUCCAGAGAACUUAGCAGAGAUGCUUUGGUGCCUUCGGGAACUCUGAGACAGGUGCUGCAUGGCUGUCGUCAGCUCGUGUUGUGAAAUGUUGGGUUAAGUCCCGCAACGAGCGCAACCCUUAUCCUUUGUUGCCAGCGGUUAGGCCGGGAACUCAAAGGAGACUGCCAGUGAUAAACUGGAGGAAGGUGGGGAUGACGUCAAGUCAUCAUGGCCCUUACGAGUAGGGCUACACACAUGCUACAAUGGCAUAUACAAAGAGAAGCGACCUCGCGAGAGCAAGCGGACCUCAUAAAGUAUGUCGUAGUCCGGAUUGGAGUCUGCAACUCGACUCCAUGAAGUCGGAAUCGCUAGUAAUCGUAGAUCAGAAUGCUACGGUGAAUACGUUCCCGGGCCUUGUACACACCGCCCGUCACACCAUGGGAGUGGGUUGCAAAAGAAGUAGGUAGCUUAACCUUCGGGAGGGCGCUUACCACUUUGUGAUUCAUGACUGGG
rnacentral:rRNA from 1 species